rnacentral:lncRNA from 1 species
AGAGGACUACUUCAGUGGCAGAAAACAACGAAGCCUCUGUCUCCAUAUAUCUACCGCAGCACUCAGCCUCUUCCCUGAGGUGUUGGACUUCAGACACAUUUUAUUAACAUUCUGGAGUUGUACCCUCCUGACUAACCAGCCAUUAGCUGGCUCACUGAUCCUUAACUGCAGCUCUCUCUCUCUUAUAUAGGCAGCAUUUCCCUUAGGUUCCGAAAUAAUUAGUCUCACGGCUAUGGAUGUGAUUUCCGUUUAAAGGCAUGCAGAAGCCACACCUCCACCACUGCUGGUGGGACACCUCUGUACUAAGGAAGUGAUGGUGUUUUCUGAUGAACGACAAGCACUGCAUGAGUUCCCUUCAGAGAACUGGAGAAAUCCCACUCUUCAUUUCAAAAUAAAGAAAAACACAGCACCCCAAGGAUGCUGUGGUCACCUUGUAGGCUUCAGCUCAUUUCAUACCCUAGGGUCAAGGUAUGACUGGUUUCCUCUCCUCGAUGUAGGCUCAAGCAUACAAAGCCAGAGAGGGAGUCUUAUUUCCCUGGGAGGAGAGUACGUCUACAAUCCGUACAUUUAUGUUCUUUCCCCUUUAUUUUUAAAUUCUACCUUCCUUAAUAAGUUGUUGCAAAUGUCCAUUUUAAGCAUUUCCUUUGAUCUGUCUUUCCAGUAAUUAAAUUGCCUGCUUUUAAAUUGCCAUCAUUUAUAGUAAUCCUAAUUAAAACAAUUUCCCCAAACUUCAAAUGCUGGUUUUGAAUUCUGGUGUGAAGAGAAUGAAUAAUGAUUCCCCACGUAUUCCCUUUAGCAGUCUCUUUUUCGUAUACAAGGAAACCAACUUCUCACCUGUCAUGUUAACUAAGGGAACAAUCCAGCAAAUUUUUAUCUCUGCCAUUAAGUCUGAUUCAUCCAGCAAUCUGUGGGAGCUAAUUACAGGAAGAUUUGCUUAUGUGGGUAAGGAUG